GUCACAAGAAAAAUAUCUAAGGACAAGAGUACCUUACUGGUGCUCAGUCAGAACAAUGACAAGUGAAUGUUAAGGCAACGGUGUCAAGCUUGUGUUUGUUUUGACUGCA